AUCCCUCAACCUGGCUCAUCAACAGAGCAGAUGAACAGACCAUUUAUCAGCAACUACAAAGAAGCUAUUUCUUGUCACAAAAAGGCUGCGGCAUAUCCUUCAGAAGCCGUGAAGCUGACAGUCUGAGCAGGCUCAUUUUUCACUGGAAUUGCAAAGGAAUAGGAAACAGCGCCUCCUCAUCCAAGACAGGUGGAAAAGGGCCCAGCGUGAAAAGACUGAAAGCCCAGCAGAACAUAGGAUGUAGCUGCCCAUCUCACAAACCCUCUGCUGAGGAUGCAGAGAGCCAGAGCCCCCUUUCUCAGAAGCACAGCCCUUUCACAGAGAAAUGCCUGCCUGAGAUUCAAGGGAUCUUUGACAGGGAUCCAGACACGCUACUAUUUUUACUUUAGCAAAAGAGUGAGCCAGCAGAGCCAUGUAUUAGAAGCAAAGGCCCGAAAGAUAAAACAAUUAUAGAGAAGCAGAUUUGAAGAGGCAUGUGGAAUUCCUUGUGGCUGAGAAUGAAAGAUUAAGGAAAGAAAAUAAACAACUCAAGGCUGAAAAGGGCAGACUUCUAAAUGGUCCAAUAGAAAAGGAGCUGGAUGUAGAUGCUGAUUUUGUAGAAAAGUCAGAGUUAUGGAGCUUGCCGCCACAUUCAGAAACUGCUACAGCCUCUUUAACCUGGCAGAAGUUUGCAGCAAAUACCAGGAAAGCCAAGGACAUUCCAAUCCCCAAUCUUCCUCCCUUGGAUUUUCCAUCUCCAGAACUUCCCCUUAUGGAGCUGAGGAUAUUCUGAAAGGAUUUAUGAAUAA
rnacentral:lncRNA from 1 species